rnacentral:rRNA from 1 species
UACGUAGAAGACUAGUGUUAUUCAUCUUUAAUAGGUUUAAAGGGUACCUAGACGGUAUAAUUAGUCUUAAACAGGAUACGAUUAUACUAGAGUUAUAUAUGAGGAGGUGAGUAUUUAUGUAGUAGAGUUGAAAUUCGUUGAUAGCAUAACGACUGGUAACGGCGAAAGCAACCUUUUAUCUAAUAACUGACGUUGAGGGACGAAAGGCUCGGGUAACGAACAGG